rnacentral:rRNA from 1 species
GACGAACGCUGGCGGCGUGCCUAAUACAUGCAAGUUGAGCGCUGAAGGUUGGUACUUGUACCAACUGGAUGAGCAGCGAACGGGUGAGUAACGCGUGGGGAAUCUGCCUUUGAGCGGGGGACAACAUUUGGAAACGAAUGCUAAUACCGCAUAAAAACUUUAAACACAAGUUUUAAGUUUGAAAGAUGCAAUUGCAUCACUCAAAGAUGAUCCCGCGUUGUAUUAGCUAGUUGGUGAGGUAAAGGCUCACCAAGGCGAUGAUACAUAGCCGACCUGAGAGGGUGAUCGGCCACAUUGGGACUGAGACACGGCCCAAACUCCUACGGGAGGCAGCAGUAGGGAAUCUUCGGCCAUGGACGGAAGUCUGAACGAGCAACGCCGCGGGAGUGAAGAAGGGUUUCGGAUCGUAAAACUCUGUUGGUAGAGAAGAACGUUGGUGAGAGUGGAAAGCUCAUCAAGUGACGGUAACUACCCAGAAAGGGACGGCUAACUACGUG